AUAUUUGCACAAUAGCAGUAUCAUAGCCAAUGAAGUUUAUCCCAGGUUCGAUUAUUGCUAGUGAAAGACUUUACCCGAUACACCACCAUUACGACUUGAAAUAUAGACGGCAGUGGCCUUUUGUGGCGGUCUCUACUGGGA
rnacentral:snRNA from 1 species